rnacentral:sRNA from 1 species
UACCUAAAAGCGGGUGGAUCGGGGGGAU